rnacentral:rRNA from 1 species
UACGGAGGGUGCAAGCGUUAAUCGGAAUUACUGGGCGUAAAGCGUGCGUAGGCGGUUCGUUAAGUCUGUUGUGAAAGCCCUUGGCUCAACUGAGGAAGAGCACCCGAAACUGAGCAGCUUGAGUACAAAAGAGGGUCGCGGAAUUCCCCGGUGUAGAGGUGAAAUUCGUAGAUAUCGGGAAGAACACCCGUGGCGAAGGCGGCACUCUGGGACGGUACUGACGCUGAGACGCGAAAGCGUGGGGAGCGAACAGG